rnacentral:rRNA from 1 species
AGCUUGCUGGGUGGAUCAGUGGCGAACGGGUGAGUAACACGUGAGCAACCUGCCCCGGACUCUGGGAUAAGCGCUGGAAACGGCGUCUAAUACUGGAUAUGAAUCACAGCCGCAUGGCUAGUGGUUGGAAAGAUUUUUCGGUCUGGGAUGGGCUCGCGGCCUAUCAGCUUGUUGGUGAGGUAAUGGCUCACCAAGGCGUCGACGGGUAGCCGGCCUGAGAGGGUGACCGGCCACACUGGGACUGAGACACGGCCCAGACUCCUACGGGAGGCAGCAGUGGGGAAUAUUGCACAAUGGGCGGAAGCCUGAUGCAGCAACGCCGCGUGAGGGACGACGGCCUUCGGGUUGUAAACCUCUUUUAGCAAGGAAGAAGCGAAAGUGACGGUACUUGCAGAAAAAGCGCCGGCUAACUACGUGCCAGCAGCCGCGGUAAUACGUAGGGCGCAAGCGUUAUCCGGAAUUAUUGGGCGUAAAGAGCUCGUAGGCGGUUUGUCGCGUCUGCUGUGAAAUCCCGAGGCUCAACCUCGGG